UAACUAAUAUCAGUUGUGUUACUACAUGUC
rnacentral:piRNA from 1 species